ACACGUCAGCCUACCUCUCCACCUCCCAAGUCUAAACAGUGCAAAACCUGGAUGUUUAGCUGUUGUAGGCUGCUGAGAAUGGAAAACCCAAGGGGUGUGGUUGCUGAAACUCAAACAAUUAUGAAUUAUGUCACAGAAGCCAGUGAGAAAAGCAGGGCCCAACACCAAUUUCUACUCCACCUAGAUGCCAGUAACCACCAAAUCUUACUACAUCUGCAUCACUAGGGAAGAAGGGAAGAUACCCAAGGAGUUAUGUGGGAAAAAAAAAAGAGAGUAUUUUGUUCCAAGUGAUAGACACUGCCUGAAGUACACUGCAAUACUGGCCUGGAGCAUCAAUUGGCUUUGACAGAAACCUUCUAGUCACAAAUAACAGGAUGAGAAGAUUGCCCACCAGCAACUUCAUCUCAGUAAUGUGAAGUCACACAUUACAGACUAGUGCAGGAGCUGUUGCUAUGGUCAGAGAACACAUCCUGUGGAAGCAGAAGGUGAAAGACCUGCUUUUUUGGAGGAAGUCUCUGGACGAGCCUAUACCUGAUGUCAUGCAAGUGACAUAAAGCAAGACGAGUGUUAACUCCAGAGCUGUACUGGGGAGAGAUUACCAGCAUGUAUAAGGUAAUUAGCUGUUGUCCCAGGCUAUAUGAAUGCACUCUAUAAUCUGUCACUUAAGUUCAAGAAGCUGAAAAACAGGGAGAAGGGCAGAGACUGACAGAAUGGACUGUGUGUUUUCAGGAGAAGAUGAAAGGAGUUUAGCUGGUUUAGUCUGCAAAUUGAAGGCUGAGAGGAGGUAGGAUUAUUCUAAAUAAAUGCAUCACAGAGGAUUAAGUUUGAGGGAGGAAGAACUACAUAAAUUGAAGGACAGUGAUUGUGGGGAGAAAAAGGUUAGGCACUGUACAUUAGCAAACUUGGUCUGGCAAUAAAAUAAUUACUAACCAUUAGAGGAAUAAUAUCCACACCACCUCUCCCCACCACCCUGUGGAUGCUGAAUGCGAAUGAGCUGGUAAAU